rnacentral:lncRNA from 1 species
CGAAAAUCUACCUGAUGGCGCUGGAAGGGCGGCACUGCCCGCGGCCGGCCUCCCUUUGCUAUUUGCUUCGUUUCUUCUUCGCUUCAGCACGCGGGGCAGACAUCAGGAAUGCAAAUGACUGAUAAAGCAAGCAUCAGCCGUUUCCAACGUUAGAAAUGUUGUUAGAAAGAAAGGCUUCAGGAAGCGGUGGCGCAUUCUCCCGUGGGCAGCGGUGAGGACAAAGGAGUGACAAGCAAGUAUACAUAAAGGUACAUUUUAUUAACGACUUACUCCUAUCGCUGGCAUCCAACAGUAAAAUGGGCAAAAGCCCAACCCGAGGCACGAGGCAGGGAAAUGGAAUCAAAGGGAAACCGGCAGAUGGUCGCUCUCUCUUCCCCUCCCCUUCCGUUCCAGGAAAGGAAACCAGGCCUUCCAGGCUUUGCUGUUUCACUCCACGAUGAGAGGGGUUGUGUAGAGGGAAUGCCGGAUUCCAAACGUGGAUGCAGGCGCCUGGGGCUUGAUCAGCGUCACCCGGCCUACGCUGUAGUCUGCCGGCCCGGGCUUCGCUGCUUUGCCCUCUCCAGCUUUUGGUCGGGCUGCCAUCGUGUACGCGGGCGCCCUGGUCUUGUAGGCAUCCACAGGCACUUUGGGGAGCGCCGCAGGACCCGGAGUCUGCAAGAGAGUCACGACCAUACAGGGCUGGGGUCACAUUCAAGGCUCUCUCUUUCCCCGGCAGUCUGCGUUAAGCAAAGUUGC